rnacentral:piRNA from 1 species
UUGUUUCAUUAAUUUGUUGCA